rnacentral:tRNA from 1 species
GACCGCGUAGCUCAGUUGGCAGAGCAUUGGGCUAGUAUUCCAAAGGUUGCAGGUUCGAUUCCCACUGUGGCCA